rnacentral:rRNA from 1 species
GACGAACGCUGGCGGCGUGCCUAAUACAUGCAAGUCGAGCGAAGUUUUUCUGGUGCUUGCACUAGAAAAACUUAGCGGCGAACGGGUGAGUAACACGUAAAGAACCUGCCUCAUAGACGGGGACAACUAUUGGAAACGAUAGCUAAUACCGGAUAACAGCAUAAAUCGCAUGAUAUAUGUUUGAAAGUUGGUUUCGGCUAACACUAUGAGAUGGCUUUGCGGUGCAUUAGCUAGUUGGUGGGGUAAAGGCCUACCAAGGCGACGAUGCAUAGCCGACCUGAGAGGGUGAUCGGCCACACUGGGACUGAGACACGGCCCAGACUCCUACGGAGGCAGCAGUAGGGAAUCUUCCGCAAUGGGCGAAAGCCUGACGGAGCAACGCCGCGUGAGUGAAGAAGGAUUUCGGUUCGUAAAGCUCUGUUGUUAGGGAAGAAUGAUUGUAUAGUAACUAUAUACAGUAGAGACG